rnacentral:rRNA from 1 species
AGUGAACGCUGGCGGUAGGCCUAACACAUGCAAGUCGAACGGCAGCACAGUAAGAGCUUGCUCUUACGGGUGGCGAGUGGCGGACGGGUGAGGAAUACAUCGGAAUCUACUUUUUCGUGGGGGAUAACGUAGGGAAACUUACGCUAAUACCGCAUACGACCUACGGGUGAAAGCAGGGGAUCUUCGGACCUUGCGCGAUUGAAUGAGCCGAUGUCGGAUUAGCUAGUUGGCGGGGUAAAGGCCCACCAAGGCGACGAUCCGUAGCUGGUAUGAGAGGAUGAUCAGACACACUGGAACUGAGAAACGGUCCAGACUCCUACGGGAGGCAGCAGUGGGGAAUAUUGGACAAUGGGCGAAAGCCUGAUCCAGCCAUACCGCGUGGGUGAAGAAGGCCUUCGGGUUGUAAAGCCCUUUUGUUGGGAAAGAAAAGCAGCAGGUUAAUACCCCGCUGUUCUGACGGUACCCAAAGAAUAAGCACCGGCUAACUUCGUG